AAGUCGUAACAAGGUUUCCGUAGGUGAACCUGCGGAAGGAUCAUUAACACGUAUCCACGUAUCAACCAACCGCGAACUCGUUUUCAAGUCUCCCUUUGGGGCACAUGAAUUGGUAACUGACACAGAGUAAUUGAUAGGGGCUCUCGGGCCAGCUCUGUACAGCCACUGAGGUGAUUCGUCACUUCGACAAUUGUAGUGUUCUGGAGGCAAUCUUCUACUACCUCCUUCUCCUUUCAUGAUUAAGGUAGUGGAUAACUAUUAACCUAUUUCACCCCCUUUUUGCUAGUUGACUUUAUUAUGUUGUUAUCAAUAAGAUUAAUUUCUUAGUGGUCUCACACGUUUAAUUAUUUAAACGAUAGAACAACUCUUAGCAAUGGAUAUCUUGGUUCUC
rnacentral:misc_RNA from 1 species